GAAAUAAGGAGUUACGGGAAGGAGAGGAUGAGAAAGGGCAUUAAAGAAGUCCUUGUUGAUUGGCAGCCUUGCCCAGUUUGUGGGAAGGAGUGGGCCAGGUCCUGGCAGCCAAAAGAUUUGAAUUAGUCCCCCUGCCCUCUUCAAAUAAAAACAUAUUUUCAGUCUUUCUAGAAUGUGGUGCUA